rnacentral:rRNA from 1 species
AACGAACGCUGGCGGCAUGCCUAACACAUGCAAGUCGAACGAGACCUUCGGGUCUAGUGGCGCACGGGUGCGUAACGCGUGGGAACCUGCCUUUAGGUUCGGAAUAACUCAGAGAAAUUUGAGCUAAUACCGGAUGAUGUCUUCGGACCAAAGAUUUAUCGCCUUUAGAUGGGCCCGCGUUGGAUUAGCUAGUUGGUGGGGUAAAGGCCUACCAAGGCGACGAUCCAUAGCUGGUCUGAGAGGAUGAUCAGCCACACUGGGACUGAGACACGGCCCAGACUCCUACGGGAGGCAGCAGUGGGGAAUAUUGGACAAUGGGCGAAAGCCUGAUCCAGCAAUGCCGCGUGAGUGAUGAAGGCCUUAGGGUUGUAAAGCUCUUUUAACCGAGAUGAUAAUGACAGUAUCGGGAGAAUAAGCGCCGGCUAACUCCGUG